GACGAACGCUGGCGGCGUGCUUAACACAUGCAAGUCGAACGGAAAGGCCUCUUUCGGGGGGUACUCGAGUGGCGAACGGGUGAGUAACACGUGAGUAACCUGCCCUUGACUUUGGGAUAACUUCAGGAAACUGGGGCUAAUACCGGAUAGGAGCUCCUGCUGCAUGGUGGGGGUUGGAAAGUUUCGGCGGUUGGGGAUGGACUCGCGGCUUAUCAGCUUGUUGGUGGGGUAGUGGCUUACCAAGGCUUUGCCGGGUAGCCGGCCUGAGAGGGUGACCGGCCACAUUGGGACUGAGAGACGGCCCAGACUCCUACGGGAGGCAGCAGGGGGGAAGAUUGCACAAGGGGUGGAAGCCUGAUGCAGCAACGCCGUGUGCGGGAUGACGGCCUUCGGGUUGUAAACCGCUUUCGCUCAUGACGAAGCUUUGUGUGACGGUAGUGGGUAAAGAAGCACCGGCUAACUACGUG
rnacentral:rRNA from 1 species